UACACCUACUUAAAUUAAACAGUAAUCUCCCUCCUGGGCAUCACACAGAGAGCACCAUGAGAGUAUAUGCGGCGGUAUAAUGUCCCGGCUAACAAUAACCGAAGGAUUUUCCAUUCGACUCGAACCCCCCUUUCUGAAACGGGAGCCUCGCUUCCUAGCGAUGAUGCGCAGGGGGCGGCGAUCUUUAGCUUUGCGCAGUGGCAGUAUCGUAGCCAAUGAGGUUUAUCCGAGGCGCGAUUAUUGCUAAUUGAAAACUUUUCCCAAUACCCCGCCGUGACGACUUGCAAUAUAGUCGGCAUUGGCAAUUUUUGACAGUCUCUACGGAGACUGAAUAACCCCGGUUCAAAGAAAAGCUGUUCCAACUUCUCUGCUCGGUGCUAACCGAGUAUGCAUUUGGAAUUUUAUUUUCCUGAAGUUUCGGAGAUAAAACUCUCUCCCGGUCGCUCAUUUAAAAGAAAUCUCAGAUUUAUUGAGAGAGGGGUCUUCUCACUUGGAUGACUGAGAAUUCGCAACAAUCCUCCGGUCUCCGCCUCCGGAUCUCUCACGGUGUAUCCGUGACUAGCCUGAAACUCGCGGCAAUCCUCCUGCCUUGGCUACUCGAGUGCUGGGGUUUCAGACAAGUCUUGAUGCCCCGCUCUCCCCACCAAAGGUCUGUUUCUGCAUCCGACCGCACGCCGGUCCCCUUCGGCUUACCCGUAAGCUUUCUCCCACCGCGGUGGAGUCUCCACCCCGGGCCUUCGCGAUGACGUCGCCUCGAUUUGCAUAAGCGUCGCCCCAGCAUCCCAAGCGGCGGCUGCGCUCUUUGUAAAUCACGAGCGUCCGGGCCCGAGAUAACCCACCGGCCAGGAUCUGUCCACGCGGACGCCGGAGGCGAAAGGGCAGGGUCAGCGCCCGUCACGUGGCGGUCGCGCGUGGGCGGCAGCUCACCGUGACCGGGAUGGGCAUCUCCGGCCCUGGGAAGCUGAGCGAGCCCGGUCCAUCUCCAGCUUUGCGCAGUGGCAGUAUCGUAGCCAAUGAGGUUUAUCCGAGGCGCGAUUAUUGCUAAUUGAAAACUUUUCCCAAUACCCCGCCAUGACGACUUGAAAUAUAGUCGGCAUUGGCAAUUUUUGACAGUCUCUACGGAGACUGAAUAAUGCGGGUCUAAAAGUCAGAUUCUUCUCCAGCUACUUGGGAUUCACAGUUGCAACUUUCAAUACAGUGUGUUUACUAAGUGUCUUUUUCUCCAUUGGUCCUAAGUAUACAGUAAGGAAGGACGCAAGAAAAAGGGAUCUUGCUAACUUCUUUGGGCGAUUUCUAUUUCUAGUCAUCCCCCUGCCUCUACUUCCGAAAGCUGGGGUUGCAGUCCUGUGCCUUCUCGUUUGCUUUUUUAAGAGAUUCUCACAGCUCCUCGCUAAGGCAAACUCUUCUCCUUUAUCUCCCAUCCAUUCCACUUCCAGACCCCCGAGA